UACGUAGGGUGCGAGCGUUAAUCGGAAUUACUGGGCGUAAAGCGUGCGUAGACGGUUAUGUAAGUCGGGUGUGAAAGCCCCGGGCUCAACCUGGGAAUUGCAUUCGAGACUGCAUAGCUAGGAUGCGGAAGAGGGAAGCGGAAUUUCCGGUGUAGCGGUGAAAUGCGUAGAUAUCGGAAGGAACAUCAGUGGCGAAAGCGGCUUCCUGGUCCAGCAUCGACGUUCAGGCACGAAAGCGUGGGGAGCAAACAGG
rnacentral:rRNA from 1 species